GAAAAGCCUGAAGAAAGGAAGACCGGAAAAGAAAUACAAGUCCUUCCGCCUUGGCAAAGAUGAUAGUACCGUUCCCUUCAGUGUUCCGGUUCUGCUCUAUUGGAUAAGUUCCGGUUUGACUAUGACUACGUGAAAAUGUGGAACCAGACCUUCACCCCACAUUCCAGCUCCAGCUCUACCACAGAGGAAGUGCAAUAUCACCUUAGUUAUUCAACACAUUAUGCUCCUCGUGAUACAACCAGAGUUCACAUCAGCAAUCUUGGCAGCUCUCACCACGCUGCUGACUCACGACUCUCUCAUGUCCCAAUUUCCUGUCCAUUGUUCUUUCCUCUACUUGGCCUGAUUUCUAAAGGCCUCUCUUGGUUGCAUUAAGCGGGAUUCCUGAGGGAUUCCCUUGGCAGUUACCUUGGGGGAGCGCUUAGGUUUGGGGCUGAUCCAUGUCCUCUAAAUGUAGGACUUCAAAGCUCCCAAAGAUAGGCAGACCCAGUGGGAAGCUGGGAAAUGCUCUCUGACCCCUCUGGGAGAGCUGGCAGUCAGAGGGCCUUUUGGAAAGAGUCAGACCUGAUCCAUAAGUCCCUGGAAAACACCCUGCCCAGGGAGCAAAUGCCACUGUGGCCUUGACUGAGGCUUCAGAAGAGUUUGGGAGCUGCAAUUCAUCCACACACGCAUUCAUUUUCAAGUAGUGGUUUGCAUUUCAGGCUUUGGAGCCACAUAAGCCUGGCUUCAAAGCCACUCUCCAGCUUUGUAGGAAGUCUCUACAUUUUUAAACCUCCAUUUUUUUUUCCUGUAAAA
rnacentral:lncRNA from 1 species